rnacentral:rRNA from 1 species
AUUGAACGCUGGCGGCAGGCCUAACACAUGCAAGUCGAGCGGUUGACGGGAGCUUGCUCCCUGAUUCAGCGGCGGACGGGUGAGUAAUGCCUAGGAAUCUGCCUAUUAGUGGGGGACAACGUUUCGAAAGGAACGCUAAUACCGCAUACGUCCUACGGGAGAAAGCAGGGGACCUUCGGGCCUUGCGCUAAUAGAUGAGCCUAGGUCGGAUUAGCUAGUUGGUGAGGUAAUGGCUCACCAAGGCGACGAUCCGUAACUGGUCUGAGAGGAUGAUCAGUCACACUGGAACUGAGACACGGUCCAGACUCCUACGGGAGGCAGCAGUGGGGAAUAUUGGACAAAGGGCGAAAGCCUGAUCCAGCCAUGCCGCGUGUGUGAAGAAGGUCUUCGGAUUGUAAAGCACUUUAAGUUGGGAGGAAGGGUUGUAGAUUAAUACUCUGCAAUUUUGGCGUUACCGACAGAAUAAGCACCGGCUAACUCUGUGCCAGCCGCCGCCGUAAAAC